GACGAACGCUGGCGGCGUGCUUAACACAUGCAAGUCGAACGGAAAGGCCCUGCUUUUGUGGGGUGCUCGAGUGGCGAACGGGUGAGUAACACGUGAGUAACCUGCCCUUGACUUUGGGAUAACUUCAGGAAACUGGGGCUAAUACCGGAUAGGAGCUCCUGCUGCAUGGUGGGGGUUGGAAAGUUUCGGCGGUUGGGGAUGGACUCGCGGCUUAUCAGCUUGUUGGUGGGGUAGUGGCUGACCAAGGCUUUGACGGGUAGCCGGCCUGAGAGGGUGAACGGCCACAUUGGGACUGAGAUACGGCCCAGACUCCUACGGGAGGCAGCAGUGGGGAAUAUUGCACAAUGGGCGGAAGCCUGAUGCAGAAACGCCGCGUGCGGGAUGACGGCCUUCGGGUUGUAAACCGCUUUCGCCUGUGACGAAGCGUGAGUGACGGUAAUGGGUAAAGAAGCACCGGCUAACUACGUG
rnacentral:rRNA from 1 species